UUAAAUGGCCGCGGUAUUUUGACCGUGCAAAGGUAGCAUAAUCAUUAGUUUUUUAAUUGAAAGCUGGAAUGAAAGGUUGAAUGAGAAAAUAACUGUCUUUGUGAUAUUUAAUUUGAACUUUAUUUUUAAGUAAAAAAGCUUAAAUUUUAUUUAAAGACGAGAAGACCCUUUAGAGUUUUAUAAAAUUUUUAUUUUUGCUUUUUUAGAAUUAAUUAUAAGAGGAUAAAAUUUUAUUUGAUUGGGGCGAUUAAAAAAUUUAAAUAACUUUUUUUUUUAUUAUACAUUAAUAUAUGAAUGUUUGAUCCAUAGAUUAUGAUUAUAAGAUUAAAUUACCUAAGGGAUAACAGCGUUAUUUUUUUUGAGAGUUCUUAUCGAAAAAAGAGAUUGCGACCUCGAUGUUGGAUUAAAAUUAAAUUAUGGUGUAGAGGCUUUAACUUUAGGUCUGUUCGACCUUUAAAAUUUUACAUGAUCUGAGUUUAAACCGGUGUAAGCCAGGUUGGUUUCUAUCUUAAAUUAAUUUUAGUAUUUUAGUACGAAAGGACCAAAUAGUAUAUUAAUAGUAUAACUUGCGAAUAAAUAUUAAUU
rnacentral:rRNA from 1 species